rnacentral:rRNA from 1 species
UACGGAGGGAGCUAGCGUUGUUCGGAAUUACUGGGCGUAAAGCGCGCGUAGGCGGCUUUGUAAGUUAGAGGUGAAAGCCCGGGGCUCAACCCCGGAACUGCCUUUAAGACUGCAUCGCUUGAAUCCGGGAGAGGUGAGUGGAAUUCCGAGUGUAGAGGUGAAAUUCGUAGAUAUUCGGAAGAACACCAGUGGCGAAGGCGGCUCACUGGACCGGUAUUG